AACUCUUCACUCAUCACUCGACCU
rnacentral:siRNA from 1 species